rnacentral:rRNA from 1 species
AGAAUCAACGCUGGCGGCGUGCCUAACACAUGCAAGUCGAGCGAGAAAGUGGAGCAAUCCAUGAGUAAAGCGGCGCACGGGUGAGUAACACGUGACUAACCUGCCCUUGAGUGGGGAAUAACCUGGGGAAACCCGGGCUAAUACCGCAUAACACCUACGGGUCAAAGCAGCAAUGCGCUUGAAGAGGAGUUCGCGGCAGAUUAGUUAGUUGGCGGGGUAAUGGCCCACCAAGACGAUGAUCUGUA